GUUUCAAGGAUUAGAUGAGAUUGAGAGAUACAACAUACAUGGAGAAACAUGUGUACUUUACAUAAAGGUCUGUGUGUGUAUCCUGAAGAGGGAUUCAGUUGACUUUUGAAGGAGCAAAUAUUUUGACUCCUCCAUCUGAUGGCACAGACUGGAAAAGAGAAAAACUACCACACCAUCGUCGUCCUGGUAAUCAAGCCAAGAUCAGUUCACGUGCUGAGGGUUGCAACUCCAACACCACUAACAAGAUUUCACUGCGAUCAGCUGACUGGAGAAAAUGAUGAAGGAAUCUACAAUGUCGUUGCGAGGACAAGCAAUCUUAUAAUACAAGCACCUCAACGGAAAAUCACUGGUAACUGAAGCUGGUAGUGUGCUGUGACAUCUCUCGUAAACAAGCUGCGUUAUAGACAAGGAUCAAUCAACCAAGUUCAGAUGUCUUGAACACGAUAGGGCCCCUUCCGUUCUGACUGGAAAAGACAUCUGUCAUCUAUGGUUUCUGCAUGAUCAAUGGUAUCCACAGUUUCUUUGCUGGGAUAAUGGAAAGCAGUGGAAUUCCUGUCUUUGCCAAGGACCUAAAUAUUUGAUGACAUCAUUCCGUCAUAUAUUGCAAUGUCCACCAGUAAUUAUAUACAGACUUAAGUUUUGCUUUGAAGCAAUGUCACAGUCUACCAUGCCAGGAUUUUUUAUUGUACUCUUGUUAUGCCGGCAAUACAAUAGGGCGAGUACAGUGUAAAUUGAGUCUGCACUUCAUACACUGUGUACAAUCGCACUUGUUUGUCAUUCCUGCCGUAUCAUGUAGCCUUGCGCAAAUAGUUCAAUCAAAAUUGUUUUAAAAAGGCAUGAUAUUGCUCAAAUUUGUAAAUUCUUGGUUGAAAUCUGCCAAUUCAAGCAAUGAGAUAGCGGUACUCUGCCUAUCUGUACUAUAAAAAAACCGACGGUUAUCGCGGCUCUUGGCUCUAAGAUUAGGGUGUCCCAAUAUCCACACCUGGUAUUCUUUAGUUACUGUGUAGUGACCUUUUUGUUUUCACUUUUAAAGACCUAUGCGAUUUGCCGCACUGAAGGUCCCUCCAGAGAUUGUUGGACUGGGUCCAUUAUGUGACAAAAAUAUCCAACACCUAUUUACAAAUGAAGUGAGGGGUCAGCCUUUUGGUGUAACUCCAUAUAACUGUCUGGUGAUUUCGCUCUGGGCUUGUGACAUUCUGAUCGGUCUGAAAUAAUCAUUGUCGCCCAUCCCUCAAUUUGAGGCCUGUGUCCCGAUGGUGGCGUUGAAUGGCAAAAUCAAAGGGGCAUGACGGCGGUUAAACCUAUUGCGAAUGGGCAGCAUCACAACCAGUUCUGAGAUCUGGGGGUGGUGUAGGAUAUCUGGUUACCACGCACACAUCUCGUGAAUCUGCGGUGGGUUGGUACCCCACGCUACGUAAGGGGAGGUUUCUGGGUAAGACUUGGUCCACGUGAAUAGGUAGUACCUGAAAGAUGAGAAGUUGCGAAUGGACGCCUUAGAAUAUGUCCUUCGACCAGCUAGUGCUAACCCGGUCACUGUCUCCAGGUCACCAUACCUUGGUCAAUGAGCGGGCGAAGAACCCAAUGGCUCCGUCAGGAGUACAUCGUCAACUUCAGCCCGUAGUCAAACCGGUGCACGCACAAAUAUCUUAGCUGAGAGUGGGGGACGUACUUGCUUCUCAUCGGGGUAAUACAGUACCACUGUAUACAAUGACCCCAUUUUAGUUGGAUUUUACUGAGGAGUGGACGAUAAUGAGAAUUUCAGGCCAGUCCGAUUGUCACCAGUUCAGAGGGCGAUUACCUGAUAGUUAUGUGGCAUUCCGUCAAACGGUGAACUCUUUCACAUCCUUUGUAAAUUAGUGUUGCUUGUUACAUGUCACAUUCAAUGGCUCAUUUGAGGAUAGUUUCUGUGAUUCUACUUAACCAUGAGCAGGCCCAUUAAAACCUAAAAUGUGUAGUUUGUGCUCUGUAGUAUGUGAUCUAAAAAGUUGUAAAUCUGGUUAUUAGAGUAAAGAUUGUACAAUGGAAUAUCCGCGGGAUGCCCUAAUCUGAGAGCCAAGAGCCAAGACGCUGUUAAAGAGCCAAUUAAGUGCUGCCAGGAAAGCCACGAGCCAAAGAAAAAGUUUAGGCCAAUGAAACUUUGGGAAUCCUAAGCCUACAGGUACCCUACUUGAUAAAAAAUAAAUUUAUUAUGUAAUCAUUUAUGACAUUGUAAGAAAUCGCUGCCUUGAUGGCUAUUAUGUGCAGACAUAAGUUUUGCUUUGAAGCAAUAUCACUGCUACACUUGUGAAGCAGUGGCAGUGUUCAGGUUAUGACAUAUCUGCAUACCAGUAGUUAUGUGCAGACUUGGCUCUUUCUUUAGAGCAGUACAGUUGCAAGAUAAAUCCUGUUUGUAAUUUUAUAAAUUAGUUGCUCAUUAAGGGCUUACGAAGGUUUUGAUGCCUUGCUGGCAUAUCUGCAUACCAGUAAAUAUGUGCAGAUUUAUUUCUUGCUUUGAAGCAAUAUCGUUGCUACACUCCUAAAGCAGUGGCAAUGCUCAGGUCUGUUCUGCCUCGCGGGCAAAUCUGCAUACCUGUAAUUAUGUGCAGACUUGGCUCUUCCAGAGAUUGUAGGACUGGGUCCAUUGAAUGUAACAAAAAUAAUCGAUGCCUAUUUACAAAUGAAAUGAAGAGUCUGCAUUUUGAUGCAACUCCAUAUAACUGUCUGGUGAUUUCGCUCUGGGCUUGUGACAUUCUGAUCGGUCUGAAAUAAUCAUUGUCGCCCAUCCCUCAAUUUGAGGCCUGUGUCCCGAUGGUGGCGUUGAAUGGCAAAAUCAAAGGGGCAUGACGGCGGUUAAACCUAUUGCGAAUGGGCAGCAUCACAACCAGUUCUGAGAUCUGGGGGUGGUGUAGGAUAUCUGGUUACCACGCACACAUCUCGUGAAUCUGCGGUGGGUUGGUACCCCACGCUACGUAAGGGGAGGUUUCUGGGUAAGACUUGGUCCACGUGAAUAGGUAGUACCUGAAAGAUGAGAAGUUGCGAAUGGACGCCUUAGAAUAUGUCCUUCGACCAGCUAGUGCUAACCCGGUCACUGUCUCCAGGUCACCAUACCUUGGUCAAUGAGCGGGCGAAGAACCCAAUGGCUCCGUCAGGAGUACAUCGUCAACUUCAGCCCGUAGUCAAACCGGUGCACGCACAAAUAUCUUAGCUGAGAGUGGGGGACAUACUUGCUUCUCAUCGGGGUAAUACAGUACCACUGUAUACAAUGACCCCAUUUUAGUUGGAUUUUACUGAGGAGUGGACGAUAAUGAGAAUUUCAGGCCAGUCCGAUUGUCACCAGUUCAGAGGGCGAUUACCUGAUAGUUAUGUGGCAUUCCGUCAAACGGUGAACUCUUUCAUAUCCUUUGUAAAUUAGUGUUGCUUGUUACAUGUCACAUUCAAUGGCUCAUUUGAGGAUAGUUUCUGUGAUUCUACUUAACCAUGAGCAGGCCCAUUAAAACCUAAACUGUGUAGUUUGUGCUCUGUAGUAUGUGAUCUAAAAAGUUGUAAAUCUGGUUAUUAGAGUAAAGAUUGUACAAUGGAAUAUCCGCGGGAUGCCCUAAUCUGAGAGCCAAGAGCCAAGACGCUGUUAAAGAGCCAAUUAAGUGCUGCCAGGAAAGCCACGAGCCAAAGAAAAAGUUUAGGCCAAUGAAACUUUGGGAA